rnacentral:rRNA from 1 species
CAGUCGCCGCGGUAAUACGAAGGGGGCUAGCGUUGCUCGGAAUGACUGGGCGUAAAGGGCGCGUAGGCGGAUUGUUUAGUUAGGCGUGAAAUUCCUGGGCUUAACCUGGGGACUGCGCUUAAUACAGGCAGUCUAGAGUGAGGAAGAGGGUUGUGGAAUUCCCAGUGUAGAGGUGAAAUUCGUAGAUAUUGGGAAGAACACCGGUGGCGAAGGCGGCUCACUGGUCCAUUACUGACGCUGAGGCGCGAAAGCGUGGGGAGCAAACAGGAUUAGAUACCCGUGUAGUCCCUGUCUCUUAUAC